UGUUAAAAAAUUUUAUUCAUCUGUAUUGUUAAAAACUGACAAAGUUGACACAUGACAUGUUUAGUGUACCUCAUGCUAGCAUAAAAAGACUAAUUUUUAGUAGUGAAAUGAAUGAAAUUUUUAACA
rnacentral:pre_miRNA from 1 species